GACAGAGGUGGCAAGCGUUGUUCGGAUUUACUGGGCUUAAAGGGCGUGUAGGCGUCCUGAUAAGUCAGAUGUGGAAGCCUUGGGCUUAACCCAAGAAUUGCAUUUGAAACUGUCAGGAUUGAGUCGUGCAUGGGAGGGCGGAAUUCCUGGUGUAGCGGUGAAAUGCGUAGAUAUCAGGAGGAAGGCCGGUGGUGAAGAUGGCCCUCUGGGCAAUGACUGACGCUGAGGCGCGAAAGCGUGGGUAG
rnacentral:rRNA from 1 species